GGUUAAGCGACUAAGCGUACACGGUGGAUGCCCUGGCAGUCAGAGGCGAUGAAGGGCGUGCUAAUCUGCGAUAAGCGCCGGUAAGGUGAUAUGAACCGUUAUAACCGGCGAUACCCGAAUGGGGAAACCCAGUGUGAUUCGUCACACUAUCAUUAACUGAAUCCAUAGGUUAAUGAGGCGAACCGGGGGAACUGAAACAUCUAAGUACCCCGAGGAAAAGAAAUCAACCGAGAUUCCCCCAGUAGCGGCGAGCGAACGGGGAGGAGCCCAGAGCCUGAAUCAGCAUGUGUGUUAGUGGAAGCGUCUGGAAAGGCGCGCGAUACAGGGUGACAGCCCCGUACACAAAAGCGCAUGUGCUGUGAGCUCGAUGAGUAGGGCGGGACACGUGGUAUCCUGUCUGAAUAUGGGGGGACCAUCCUCCAAGGCUAAAUACUCCUGACUGACCGAUAGUGAACCAGUACCGUGAGGGAAAGGCGAAAAGAACCCCGGCGAGGGGAGUGAAAAAGAACCUGAAACCGUGUACGUACAAGCAGUGGGAGCACAGGUUUACCUGUGUGACUGCGUACCUUUUGUAUAAUGGGUCAGCGACUUAUAUUCUGUAGCAAGGUUAACCGAAUAGGGGAGCCGGAGGGAAACCGAGUCUUAAUUGGGCGUUAAGUUGCAGGGUAUAGACCCGAAACCCGGUGAUCUAGCCAUGGGCAGGUUGAAGGUUGGGUAACACUAACUGGAGGACCGAACCGACUAAUGUUGAAAAAUUAGCGGAUGACCUGUGGCUGGGGGUGAAAGGCCAAUCAAACCGGGAGAUAGCUGGUUCUCCCCGAAAGCUAUUUAGGUAGCGCCUCGUGAAUUCAUCUCCGGGGGUAGAGCACUGUUUCGGCUAGGGGGCCAUCCCGGCUUACCAACCCGAUGCAAACUGCGAAUACCGGAGAAUGUUAUCACGGGAGACACACGGCGGGUGCUAACGUCCGUCGUGAAGAGGGAAACAACCCAGACCGCCAGCUAAGGUCCCAAAGUCAUGGUUAAGUGGGAAACGAUGUGGGAAGGCCCAGACAGCCAGGAUGUUGGCUUAGAAGCAGCCAUCAUUUAAAGAAAGCGUAAUAGCUCACUGGUCGAGUCGGCCUGCGCGGAAGAUGUAACGGGGCUAAACCAUGCACCGAAGCUGCGGCAGCGACGCUGAUGCGUUGUUGGGUAGGGGAGCGUUCUGUAAGCCUGUGAAGGUGUGUCGUGAGGCAUGCUGGAGGUAUCAGAAGUGCGAAUGCUGACAUAAGUAACGAUAAAGCGGGUGAAAAGCCCGCUCGCCGGAAGACCAAGGGUUCCUGUCCAACGUUAAUCGGGGCAGGGUGAGUCGACCCCUAAGGCGAGGCCGAAAGGCGUAGUCGAUGGGAAACGGGUUAAUAUUCCCGUACUUGGUGUUACUGCGAAGGGGGGACGGAGAAGGCUAUGUUGGCCGGGCGACGGUUGUCCCGGUUUAAGCGUGUAGGCUGGUUUUCCAGGCAAAUCCGGAAAAUCAAGGCUGAGGCGUGAUGACGAGGCACUACGGUGCUGAAGCAACAAAUGCCCUGCUUCCAGGAAAAGCCUCUAAGCAUCAGGUAACAUCAAAUCGUACCCCAAACCGACACAGGUGGUCAGGUAGAGAAUACCAAGGCGCUUGAGAGAACUCGGGUGAAGGAACUAGGCAAAAUGGUGCCGUAACUUCGGGAGAAGGCACGCUGACACGUAGGUGAAGUGAUUUACUCAUGGAGCUGAAGUCAGUCGAAGAUACCAGCUGGCUGCAACUGUUUAUUAAAAACACAGCACUGUGCAAACACGAAAGUGGACGUAUACGGUGUGACGCCUGCCCGGUGCCGGAAGGUUAAUUGAUGGGGUCAGCGCAAGCGAAGCUCCUGAUCGAAGCCCCGGUAAACGGCGGCCGUAACUAUAACGGUCCUAAGGUAGCGAAAUUCCUUGUCGGGUAAGUUCCGACCUGCACGAAUGGCGUAAUGAUGGCCAGGCUGUCUCCACCCGAGACUCAGUGAAAUUGAACUCGCUGUGAAGAUGCAGUGUACCCGCGGCAAGACGGAAAGACCCCGUGAACCUUUACUAUAGCUUGACACUGAACAUUGAGCCUUGAUGUGUAGGAUAGGUGGGAGGCUUUGAAGUGUGGACGCCAGUCUGCAUGGAGCCGACCUUGAAAUACCACCCUUUAAUGUUUGAUGUUCUAACGUGGACCCGUUACCCGGGUUGCGGACAGUGUCUGGUGGGUAGUUUGACUGGGGCGGUCUCCUCCUAAAGAGUAACGGAGGAGCACGAAGGUUGGCUAAUCCUGGUCGGACAUCAGGAGGUUAGUGCAAUGGCAUAAGCCAGCUUGACUGCGAGCGUGACGGCGCGAGCAGGUGCGAAAGCAGGUCAUAGUGAUCCGGUGGUUCUGAAUGGAAGGGCCAUCGCUCAACGGAUAAAAGGUACUCCGGGGAUAACAGGCUGAUACCGCCCAAGAGUUCAUAUCGACGGCGGUGUUUGGCACCUCGAUGUCGGCUCAUCACAUCCUGGGGCUGAAGUAGGUCCCAAGGGUAUGGCUGUUCGCCAUUUAAAGUGGUACGCGAGCUGGGUUUAGAACGUCGUGAGACAGUUCGGUCCCUAUCUGCCGUGGGCGCUGGAGAACUGAGGGGGGCUGCUCCUAGUACGAGAGGACCGGAGUGGACGCAUCACUGGUGUUCGGGUUGUCAUGCCAAUGGCACUGCCCGGUAGCUAAAUGCGGAAGAGAUAAGUGCUGAAAGCAUCUAAGCACGAAACUUGCCCCGAGAUGAGUUCUCCCUGAGACUUAGAGUCUCCUGAAGGAACGUUGAAGACGACGACGUUGAUAGGCCGGGUGUGUAAGCGCAGCGAUGCGUUGAGCUAACCGGUACUAAUGAACCGUGAGGCUUAACCUUAC
rnacentral:rRNA from 1 species